GGCUCUGCUCCACUCUUUCUCCAAGGGCGAAGUGGCAGACACCUUGAGAGCUGGCCCACAAUCGCCUGGAGCCAGGGUCUGGAGACUCUAGCUCUUGGGGCCGUCCGUCCUGCCCAGUGGAUGGGAAACUGGCCGUGCCCAUCCUGAGCUAGGCACCCUGUGACAUCCUGAGCUACGUCACUGAGUGGGUGCUCAGCCACUUCAGGCUUGGCCAGGCCGGGGGUUGGCUGGCUGGCUGUUGGACAGGGCGCUGGAGGCUUCUCCACUAGGGUGGGCCUGGCCCUGCCCAGCCUGGGACCCUGACUGCGUACGCUGAUCCUCUGGGCCAGGCUUAUCCCUUGUCACACAGGGAACCGCCAGAUGGGGUGGGGGCGGAGGGGCAGCAGUGAGCAGCCGCGAGGGCACCCAGGCAGCCCUGGUCCAGCUGCUUAUAGGAGCUGCGCCUCUCUGCCUCCAUCCUGGAAGGCUAGCACCCCCUCAUUUGUGCCCAGGAAACGUGUUGGUUGGGAAGUACACACCUAAGAAUGAAUGACAGGGCAUGCGAGCCAGCGGGCCCUACCACAGUGUCAAGGAGAGAAGCAGCCAGCCCAGAAAGGGAAGGACCUGCCAGCAGGACCUGGACCCCCGCAGCCAUGGAGGAACAAGAGGCAGGGGCUUCCUAGGCUUCCGGAGAGACUUCAUGUGAGACAUUAGUUGAGCACCUAGUACUCGCAGGCACUGGGACACCCCCAGCAGGCUCCCACCGCAAGUCAGGGCAGGAUGAGGAAGCAGCCGCCUGCCUGCUGCCCGUCCACGGUCAGGCUCCUGAUGAGGCUCGGAGGCCAUGUCCGUACGUGCCUGGCACAGUGGCCCCCUCCUUGAGAAGAGGCAUCACCCUCUGCAUCAUCGGUCUCUCCCUCCAGACCUAGAGGGGUGGGCAGGGCACAGCCGAGCACUGAGGACCCCACCAGCUGCCUUUGUAAUGAAAAGUGGAUGGACAUUUGCUCUGAGCCCAGGGCCGUGGGCUGGCAGGGAGACUCCAACCCCAACAAAGGCAUUUGUACCCCCAA